GUCCUUCAGCAGCACACUAAAAUCGGAAUAACACAGAGAUCAGCAUGGUGCCUCUGCAAGGAUGACAUGCAAAUUUGUGACACAUUCCAUCCAGCU
rnacentral:snRNA from 1 species